GGGCUUGAUGAGUUGAAUCUUAU
rnacentral:siRNA from 1 species